UGAUGACGAGACGCUAAGGCGUUGAAGCAGUGUAUGUCAGACUUCCAAGAAAAGCUCGCAAUGUCACAAAUAAGAAAAUGCCUGUACCAUAACCGACACAGGUGGGUAGGUAGAGUAUACUAAGGGGCGCGAGAUAACUCUCUCUAAGGAACUCGGCAAAAUGACUCCGUAACUUCGGGAGAAGGAGUGCCUUAUUUAUAAGGUUGCAAUAACAAGAUCCAAGCAACUGUUUAUCAAAAACACAGGUCUCCGCUAAGUCGUAAGACGAUGUAUGGGGGCUGACGCCUGCCAGUGCCAGAAGGUUAAAGAAGUUGGUUAGUGUAUGCGAAGCUGAUGACUGAAGCCCUGGUGAACGGCGGCCGUAACAAUAACGGUCCUAAGGUAGCGAAAUUCCUUGUCGGGUAAGUUCCGACCCGCACGAAAGGCGUAAUGAUUUGGAUACUGUCUCGGAGAGAGGCUCGGUGAAAUAGACUUGUCUGUGAAGAUGCGGACUACCUGCACCAGGACAGAAAGACCCUAUGAAGCUUUACUGUAACUUGAAAUUGGAAUUGGACUUUGCUUGCGCAGUAUAGGUGGGAAGCGUUGAAAAUAUUCUUGCGGGAGUAUUGGAGCUAUCAGUGAGAUACCACUCUUGUAAUGUUAGAUUUCUAACUUUGAACCAUAAUCCGGUCAAAGAACAGUUUCAGGUGGGCAGUUUGACUGGGGCGGUCGCCUCCCAAAUGGUAACGGAGGCGUACAAAGGUUUCCUCUGAACGGAUAGAAAUCGUAUCUAGAGUGUAAAGGCAUAAGGAAGCUUGACUGUGAGACCUACAAGUCGAGCAGGGACGAAAGUCGGUCUUAGUGAUCUGACGGUACUGAGUGGAAAGGCCGUCACUCAACGGAUAAAAGUUACUCUAAGGAUAACAGGCUGAUCUCCCCCAAGAGUUCACAUCGACGGGGAGGUUUGGCACCUCGAUGUCGGCUCAUCGCAUCCUGGGGCGGUAGUACGUCCCAAGGGUUGGGCUGUUCGCCCAUGAAAGCGGUACGCGAGCUGGGUUCAGAACGUCGUGAGACAGUUCGGUCCAUAUCCGGUGUAGGCGCUAGAAUAUUGAGAGGAGCCUUCUUUAGUACGAGAGGACCGAGAAGGACACACCGCUGGUGUACCAGUUAUCGUGCCAACGGUAAACGCUGGGUAGCUAUGUGUGGAGUGGAUAACCGCUGAAAGCAUCUAAGUGGGAAGCCCACCUCGAGAUGAGUA
rnacentral:rRNA from 1 species